ensembl:lncRNA
AUCUGUGCUUAAUUGUCAACAAAUAUAUUAAUAAAUAUUCUAAAAUUCUACUUUGUUUUCUUUAUACAAUGAAUUCUUUCUUUUUUGGUUUGCUUUUGCUUUUUUUUUUUUUGCUUUUAUGCACCUUUUGUGAUUCUUUUUUAUUCACUUUUAUGUAAGCAGUUUGAUUUGCCACUGUGUAUAAAGUGUGCUAUAUAAAUAAACCGUGCCUUCAUUUUUUUGAAAAACUGUCUGAAUACAGUUUCCAUUGCUAUAUUACAGUCUCUGCGUCUGAGAUGAUCCACGUGAGUUUUCUGCUGCUGGAAAGGUGAAACAUUGACCCCGAGUAGUAAAACGGUCUGCUGCUCAGGACUGAACUGUGAUUGCCAUUAAGUGAUCCAUUAUUUGACAGUAAAUUUGGGCCUGGACUUGAGUGGCCUCGCAUGCCUCUUCAGCCAAUUGUCUGGAAGUUUCUGGACACUACGCUCAUGUUAGACAAACCCAGUUUAAUCUAUGCUGCAGCAGAGUCAGAUUGUGCAGAGGAUUCAUCUGGUUCCCGUGGUCUUGUCCCAAUGGCCGUCUAG